CGCAUCUGUGCAUGCAGCAUAUCAAUAAGCGGAGGAAAAGAAACUAACAAGGAUUCCCUUAGUAACGGCGAGUGAAGCGGGAAGAGCUCAAAUUUGAAAUCUAGAAAGGUCACCUUUCACGAAUUGUAGUUUAAAGAAGUGUUUUCUGUUACGAUCGUAAUAUAAGUUCUUUGGAAUAGGACAUCACAGAGGGUGAGAAUCCCGUCUAUGAUUGCGAUUUGUAGCUUUGUGAUACACUUUCAAAGAGUCGGGUUGUUUGGGAAUGCAGCCCAAAACGGGAGGUAAAUUUCUUCUAAGGCUAAAUAUUGGCGAGAGACCGAUAGCGAACAGGUACCGUGAGGGAAAGAUGAAAAGAACUUUGAAAAGAGAGUUAAAUAGUACGUGAAAUUGUCAAAAGGGAAGCGUUUAACACCAGUGUUGUUUUCUGAAAAUCAACCUCUGUUAGCUUUAUGCAUGUUUGUUUAGACCUAAUCAGCUAUCUUGCAUGUUCUAUUGUUUGCAGUGGUGCACUUUUCAGUUUACAGGUCAACAUCAGUUUUUUUUACCGUAAAAAAGUUAAAGAAAGGUAGCUCAUGGCUCCGGUCGUGAGUGUUAUAGUCUUUUUCCUAUGCGGUAGGAGAGACUGAGGUCUGCAGUGUAGGCUAUUUGGCUAGAUAGCUCAGGUGCUAUGUGAUACCAUUUCAUAAACAACUUGUUGAUUAUGUUUUGUCUAUUGCAUACUCGCUUGUACUAUCAUACCUACGCUUAGGAUGUUGACGAUCAGCUGAGCGCG
rnacentral:rRNA from 1 species